rnacentral:lncRNA from 1 species
ACCAUUAUAAAAUCGUUAUUCUCUAGAGAAAUGUAGACAACAAAUGUCUCAAACCUCUUUGACCAUCAUCAUAUAUUAGUACAUGAGACAACUAUGCAUUAAAGCAAUAUUGUUAUAUUUUUUUAAUUUUUCUCAAAAUCUAUGUGUUAACAACCUCUACGAAAAUAUUGAGUUUUACGUUAAACGCUCUAUAUACUGAUGCCUAAACAUUUUAGUGUUGUUUUAUAAUUUCUAACCACACUCUACAUUUGUAUUAAUGUAUGUUAAAAUCUCUUUCAUGAUAUAUGGGAAUUUUAUAACUUUUUAUCAAUUAAUUUAGUAAAACUUCAUAAUACUCCCUAAAUCGGUGGAAUAACCACUAUAAAGUCGCUAUUUUCUUGAAAACGGAGACAACAAAGGCUCUAAACCUCUUUAAAAAUCAUCUUAUCUUAGUGCAGGAUGAAACUAUGCAUUAAAAUAAUAUUGUCAUAUUUUUUGAAAUUUUCUCGAAAUCAAUGUGUGUUCCCUACGAAAAUAUUGAGCAUCGUUCAAUUUUAAAAUUUUUUUUUCUCAAAUUCUAUUUGUUAACUAAUCACUAAAAAUUCUAUUGAGCAUCGUUAAAUUUUAAAAAAAAUUUUAGUAAAACUUCAUAAUACUCCCUAAAUCGGUAGGAUAUCCCCUAUAUAAUCGCUAUUUUCUUGAAAAACAGAGACAACAAAGACUCCAAACCUCUUCCACCAUCA